UACGUAGGGUGCAAGCGUUGUCCGGAAUUAUUGGGCGUAAAGAGCUCGUAGGCGGCUUGUCGCGUCGGCUGUGAAAACCUGGGGCUCAACCCCGGGCCUGCAGCCGAUACGGGCAGACUAGAGUACGGCAGGGGAGACUGGAAUUCCUGGUGUAGCGGUGAAAUGCGCAGAUAUCAGGAGGAACACCGGUGGCGAAGGCGGGUCUCUGGGCCGUAACUGACGCUGAGGAGCGAAAGCGUGGGGAGCGAACAGG
rnacentral:rRNA from 1 species